rnacentral:rRNA from 1 species
CACGUAGGGUGCGAGCGUUGUCCGGAAUUAUUGGGCGUAAAGAGCUCGUAGGCGGUGUGUCGCGUCGGCCGUGAAAACCUGCAGCUUAACUGUGGGCGUGCGGUCGAUACGGGCAUCACUGGAGUUCGGCAGGGGAGACUGGAAUUCCUGGUGUAGCGGUGAAAUGCGCAGAUAUCAGGAGGAAUACCAGCGGCGAAGGCGGCGCUCUGGGCCGGUACUGACGCUGAGGCGCGACAGCGUGGGGAGCGAACAGG